GGCUUGGGCGCAGCUCCUCCGGCCAGGGGCGGCCCCGACGCGGCGAGACAGGCCCAGCGCGACUGCAGCGCCGCCGCCGCCGCCGCCACCCACACCAGUCGUGGCCCAGAUCCGCCACCGGUGGCCCUCCACCAGCCAGUGUGGCAGCCGCCCUCCUGCGUGCGCGCCGGCAUGCUCCCUGCUCCCAUGGCACGCCCCUCCUGCGUGCCCCGGUGCCCAACACCACUCCACCCCCAAAUCCCAGCCGUCAGCCCCGGAUUCGCGUACCGCGCGAAUGGAGGUUGCUGCGGCGAAGCAACUCUUGCUCAUCUCCAUCUCGGUCGUCUUUCUCCUCGCGCCGCACCUACAGCAACCAAGUUUCGGAUCCAUGGCGCUCGGCGCCAAAGUCCCAUUCCCACGCGUCG
rnacentral:misc_RNA from 1 species